CUUGGGUAAUUGAGCAUAGCUUAUGUUAUGUUAGGAAGGUCCAUGCUCGCACAGACUGCGAUGUCUGUAGUGUUUGUGCUCGCUGAAAAAAUAAGGCGGGGUACCGAUUUAUUCGGUAACGGCGGAAGAAACGACUACGGUUUUUUACUAUGUCCGAGUAUUCCUGAAAAGUGCCACAGUGACGAUACAAUAAGGGAAACUUUAUUGGUGGAACGCGGUAAACCCCUCAAGCGGUAAACCCAAACUACGGUAGGGGAGCUUUGGAUAACGAAUUGAAGUGAUUCCAGGGGAGAGCUUAAUGCUCUGAGAUAGAUGAUUACCUCGGUAUAACUUUUACCUGAUAGUUAUACUACGACAAAACAUGGCCUACAG
rnacentral:RNase_P_RNA from 2 species